AUUGAACGCUGGCGGCAUGCCUUACACAUGCAAGUCGAACGGCAGCACGGGAGCUUGCUCCUGGUGGCGAGUGGCGAACGGGUGAGUAAUACAUCGGAACGUACCCUGAAGUGGGGGAUAACGUAGCGAAAGUUACGCUAAUACCGCAUAUUCUGUGAGCAGGAAAGAGGGGGAUCGCAAGACCUCUUGCUUUAGGAGCGGCCGAUGUCGGAUUAGCUAGUUGGUGAGGUAAAGGCUCACCAAGGCGACGAUCCGUAGCGGGUCUGAGAGGAUGAUCCGCCACACUGGGACUGAGACACGGCCCAGACUCCUACGGGAGGCAGCAGUGGGGAAUCUUGCGCAAUGGGCGAAAGCCUGACGCAGCCAUGCCGCGUGAAUGAUGAAGGUCUUAGGAUUGUAAAAUUCUUUCACCGGGGACGAUAAUGACGGUACCCGGAGAAGAAGCCCCGGCUAACUUCGUGCCAGCAGCCGCGGUAAU
rnacentral:rRNA from 1 species